GACGUAGGAGGCGAGCGUUAUCCGGAUUCACUGGGCGUAAAGCGCAUGUAGGCGGUUGGACAAGUCGUGUGUUAAAGCCCCUGGCUCAACUGGGGGAGGUCAUGCGAGACUGUGCGACUUGAGGGCAAGAGAGGCACGUGGAACUCCCGGUGUGGCGGUGGAAUGCGUAGAGAUCGGGAAGAACACCAGUGGCGAAGGCGACGUGCUGGGUUGCACCUGACGCUGAGAUGCGAAAGUGUGGGGAGCAAACGGG
rnacentral:rRNA from 1 species